CAGCCGCCGCGGGAAUACGUAGGUCCCGAGCGUUGUCCGGAUUUAUUGGGCGUAAAGGGAGCGCAGGCGGUCAGGAAAGUCUGGAGUAAAAGGCUAUGGCUCAACCAUAGUGUGCUCUGGAAACUGUCUGGCUUGAGUGCAGAAGGGGAGAGUGGAAUUCCAUGUGUAGCGGUGAAAUGCGUAGAUAUAUGGAGGAACACCAGUGGCGAAAGCGGCUCUCUGGUCUGUCACUGACGCUGAGGCUCGAAAGCGUGGGUAGCGAACAGGAUUAGAUACCCCGGUAGUCCCUGUCUCUUAUACC
rnacentral:rRNA from 1 species